GGGGGAGGCUACCUAACACUUCUGGAUAUCGUGCUUCCUAACUCCCCUUCAAUACCGAGUCUUCUUGCUAAUUAUUUGUACCAAACUGUUUGAAUUUAAGGUAUGAUUAUUUAAAAUUCAUCUGCCACCAAAUUUGUUUGAAAAAUUUAUAAACUAAUAGUACUACUCUAUCGCAUUUAAUAGCUCUUGGUAAUAUGAUAGGGCUAC